GAUUGAAGAAGCUUGCUUCUGAUUGAUAACAUUUGAGUGAGUGGCGGACGGGUGAGUAACACGUGGGUAACCUGCCCUAAAGUGGGGGAUAACAUUUGGAAACAGAUGCUAAUACCGCAUAAAACCUAGCACCGCAUGGUGCAAGGUUGAAAGAUGGUUUCGGCUAUCACUUUAGGAUGGACCCGCGGUGCAUUAGUUAGUUGGUGAGGUAAAGGCUCACCAAGACCGUGAUGCAUAGCCGACCUGAGAGGGUAAUCGGCCACACUGGGACUGAGACACGGCCCAGACUCCUACGGGAGGCAGCAGUAGGGAAUCUUCCACAAUGGACGAAAGUCUGAUGGAGCAACGCCGCGUGAGUGAAGAAGGUUUUCGGAUCGUAAAACUCUGUUGUUGGAGAAGAACGUAUUUGAUAGUAACUGAUCAGGUAGUGACGGUAUCCAACCAGAAAGCCACGGCUAACUACGUGCCAGCAGCCGCGGUAAUACGUAGGUGGCAAGCGUUGUCCGGAUUUAUUGGGCGUAAAGCGAGCGCAGGCGGUUUCUUAAGUCUGAUGUGAAAGCCUUCGGCUCAACCGAAGAAGUGCAUCGGAAACUGGGAAACUUGAGUGCAGAAGAGGACAGUGGAACUCCAUGUGU
rnacentral:rRNA from 1 species